rnacentral:rRNA from 1 species
CCUACGGGAGGCAGCAGUGAGGAAUAUUGGUCAAUGCACGAGAGUCUGAACCAGCCAAGUAGCGUGAAGGAUGACUGCCCUAUGGGUUGUAAACUUCUUUUAUAUGGGAAUAAAAUGUUCCACGUGUGGGAUUUUGUAUGUACCAUAUGAAUAAGGAUCGGCUAACUCCGUGCCAGCAGCCGCGGUAAUACGGAGGAUCCGAGCGUUAUCCGGAUUUAUUGGGUUUAAAGGGAGCGUAGGUGGAUUGUUAAGUCAGUUGUGAAAGUUUGCGGCUCAACCGUAAAAUUGCAGUUGAAACUGGCAGUCUUGAGUACAGUAGAGGUGGGCGGAAUUCGUGGUGUAGCGGUGAAAUGCUUAGAUAUCACGAAGAACUCCGAUUGCGAAGGCAGUUCACUGGACUGCAACUGACACUGAGGCUCGAAAGUGUGGGUAUCAAACAGGAUUAGAUACCCGUGUAGUC